GGCUCAGUAGCACAAUGGUUGUGCAUCCGCAAGAUGUGACUCGAUCGACCCCACCUUCUGCGGAGGGAGCCCGUUCGACUCGGGCCUGGGCCA